rnacentral:lncRNA from 1 species
AACCUAUAUUUUUACAAUCGAAAGAAUACCUACCAACUUAAUAAAUGGAAAAUAGAAUCUGCUUCUUAUUCGCUUUCAAACUAAGCUGUACAAACAGAAGAGAUAAAAAACUUACAAGAAAUCAAAUAUAUAUAGCUCAAAGCAGAUGGUACUUCAUUUUUCAAUGCCCUGUUGCAAAUACUGAAUCAAAUCAUGACCAGCAGCUGUCCAAUUAUUGUAUGGAUCAGUGCAUAUGCGGAUCAUAAAUUUGGCUGCCUCCCGCUCGCUCAUUUCAUGAUGAAAUCUCUUUCGAAGAUCUCCAAUCGGGUCGCCCCUGGUGAAGCAAGGUGUUAAAGACUAAAAAUGACUUGGCAGGAUUAUAUCAAC